GAAAAGGGAUCGGAUAUCGUUACGAGGUCAAGGAGCCGAAGUUCCAGGCCAACGUAAAUAAAUUUCUAGCAAGUAUAGUCUCUUUCCCUUGCUGAUGGAUAUGGGAAGUUUUCCGUCAAUCCCUUUGAGGAUAAUGCUAUGAUGAGGAGAUUUUAGAGGUAUCAGUGAAGUACUAACUAAGCUAAAAAAAUUGCAAAUUUGUAAGCUGGGAGUCAUUGUUAUAAUACACCGCUCGAGGACUACACACGAAUGACAAAUCCAAAGGCUUGCGGUGUAUCGCACGGUUGGUCCAUAUCAGUAGCAAUUACUUUAUUAUUUUGUUGAAGCCCGGAAAAUCUUCUGAAGCAGAAAAGGUUUAUAUAUGAAUUGUUUAUGUAACUUCAAUGUGUUGAGAAGAUUGAUUAUAAUAACUCCGGUGAAACAAGUGAGCCCGGAAAAGGGAGGUACCGGAUUCAAGUCAAUGAACCUCAUCAAAUAGAAAAAUAUAUGAAGCCGAAAAUAAAAGAUCCAACUCAGCUAUUGCCUAAAUCUUUAUCGUAAGUUAAUACGAAUUCACUUUGUUGUUUUUGUUACUAAGGUGCAUUGACAAAAAGUGAUUUGAUUAAUGCUUAUAUAACUUGGUAUAUUUAGUCUUAAUUUUAUUUGGUU